UUAAUGAAUGACGGUGUGAUUGGGUUGGGUUGUUGGACUAUUUUAAUUGCAAUUUCACUCUUCUGAAUUAUUAAAUCUCGCCGGAAACUAAUUGCCCAAAAAUCUCGAUCAGUUCUGGUGGAGAUGAAACUGCGGCGUUUUUCAUAUGGCGAGUUGGUGAAGAUAACCGAUAAGUUUCAGCGAUGCAUUGGCCAAGGUGUAUUUGGAAAAGUCUACCACGGCCAACUCGACGGCGCUCCGGUGGCCGUCAUCGUAACCAACCUACAUCAGCUGCCGCUGAAUUUCAAACCGAGGAAGUGGUUCAACCAAAUUGACAUGGGAACGAACACUUGGAAUGGCCAUUGAUAUGGCUAAAGCUUUGGAUUAUCUGCACGACGGUUGCCAGCCGCCGAUCAUCCACAGGGAUUUCCACAGUUCAAACAUUUUGUUAUCUGAGAAUUUUGAAGCGAAACUUUCUGGCUUUGCUUUGGCCGUCAGCUUAGUUCAAUUUCAUGAUGGUGAAUCUCAUGUGUCCAUUACUGUUCGAGGCACUUCUGGAUACAUGGAUCCACAGUAAGCAAAGAAAAAAAAAAAACCUUAAUUUGCCCAUGUUUGAUAAUCCUUUAUAAAUUAAGUUCAUAAAUGUUAUUUCCAUCCAUAAAUUUGCUUUUACACAAAUGUUUUCAAAAUUCAAGACAACUUUUGAAAAUAUUUAAAUAGUACUGUCAGGCUGCUCCUUAUUUCAGGUUCAAGUUGCUGAAGAGACCGAUCCAAGUGAGAGGAUGGGUGAACGAAAGGCUCUGAAUGAGCCACGCCUCUCAAUCUUCCUAACUACAAGUGGUAAGAACCACUAUCACAGAACUUAGGGAAAUCAGUGGAGACCGAUCAAAUUCCUUUCAAUGAAUAAAGAAGAGAAUCAAGCAUGCAAAUGGAAGAAGAGAUCAACAACAAUAUGUACAUGGUUCGGCAAAAUGAUGCCUACAUCUACGGGAAGGGAGAAUCUUUUAUUGAAGACUUUACAGAGAUAAGUUUUUAUUUUCUUUACAGAUCGUGUACUAAAUAAAAUGAUCAAGUUGUGGAACGAUUUAUAUAUAUAUAUAUAUAUUACAAAUCUGUUAUGAAGUCUGUUUAGAAAAUAAAAACUAGCCGUUGAGCUAUUUGAGAUUAAAUUCUUUCAAGUACUACUUUAGUGAUCCCGGAAUUUCUUUUUAUAUAUAUUUUAAUUUAUUUUAGUUUAUGUACUUUCUAAAUAUUACUUUUGAUUUUUUAUAUACUUUGAACUUUAGUUUAUUUUCGUCUUUAUUGUAAUUUUAGAGAGUGAUCAUUUUAGUUCUAUCAUUAUCAUUUUGUGUAUGUAAACUACUUUUUAUUUAUGAGUUUCUUUAUCUUAUCAUCUACUUUCUUACAAAUAUUUUUUUUAUAAAAAAAUUCAAGCUAAAUUUUGAAAACAAAAAAAAUAGUUACUAAAUUUUUUUUUUGGACAUUGAGAAAGUUGAAUAUGUAUGCAUGUUUUCUUUUCCCUAAAUUACAUAAAAUAUAGAGAAUUUUUUAAACUUAGGUUAAAUUGGUAGUGACUAGUUCGUUCGAUCAUGCAAAUAAGUUGGUUUAAAAAUUUAUGUUAGGUUUGGUAGUAGUAAAUCUAUAAUUAAUUAACAUUUUUUAAAAAAGAAAAACUAACUUGCCAAAAAAUUGGUUCAACUUCUUUAACUUUAGGGUGAAACAAAAUUUAGGAUGAUUUGAAUUGAUCAGACUUUCUAAGUGUAUUUAAAACCAUUUUUUAUACUUUCAAGAACGCUUUAGGGUAACAAUUUUAUUCUUAAUUUUCUAUUUUUGAAUUAUUGUUUGUUUUGUUUCUUAAAUUUCAUAUUAUGGCUCUCAUAUAUUAUGAAUAAACACUUAAAUUCAUAAUCAAAUUCUAAAAACAGAAACAAGUUUUAUUUUUCUUUUUCAAAAUACUAACGAAAAUUGAAUAAUAAAACAAACAAACUUAUUAGUGAAAGUAGCCUCUAUAAGUUUAGCUUUCAAAAAAUCCAAAAAAUCCAAAUGAUUAUCAAAUGAAAUCUGUAAAUUUCAAACAAAUCCUUAUUGAGUAAGGUUAAUGUUAACCAUUGCGGGCAUUUGGAUUUUGUAGAUCUUUGGUAACAGGAAAGUUGAGUAUAGGGGCGGAUGUGUAUGGGUUUGGAGUGGUAUGGGAUAAUAAUAUAUGUAUCUAAAUUAAUCAACCAAAAUUCAGACUAUAUAAAUUAUCCAACAAACCUAGAUCAAAUUCGGGUUCCAAAUUAUGCGGAAUAAACAAUUGGUUAAUAGUUUAAAAGAAUAGAUAAAUCAACCUAAGCUUUUAAGUAACAAGAAUGAUAAUAAAUCAAAUUUAAAGGAAGAGAGAUAACGCCCGGUUUAUAUUGGUUCACCCAGUGUGGGUUACGUCCAGUUCUCUGUUACUGAUGCAGGUUCCACUAAAAUAGUCAGGGAGAAGAGUACAAGAGUUUACAAUGCUCAAGAAUGAUUUCUGCUCACAAAUCACUUUUACAAAGAUCGGAAAAAAAAAAUGCUCACUGUGAGACAAGAAAAAAAUCAAUUUGACAAUGUAUAUAUAUAAUAUAUAUAUAUAUAUAA